rnacentral:rRNA from 1 species
UACGUAGGGUGCGAGCGUUGUUCGGAAUUACUGGGCGUAAAGGGCUCGUAGGCGGCCAACUAAGUCGGAUGUGAAAUCCCCAGGCUUAACCUGGGAACUGCAUCCGAUACUGGAUGGCUUGAAUUCGGGAGAGGGAUGCAGAAUUCCAGGUGUAGCGGUGAAAUGCGUAGAUAUCUGGAGGAAUACCGGUGGCGAAGGCGGCAUCCUGGACCGAGAUUGAUGCUGAUGAGCGAAAGCUAGGGGAGCAAACGGGG